rnacentral:rRNA from 1 species
AUUUAACCCAGAAAGGCCACGGGCUAAACUACGCACCCAGCAGCCGCGGGUAAAUACGUAGGUGGCAAAGCGUUGUCCGGAUUUAUUGGGCCGUAAAGCGAGCGCAGGCGGUUUUUUUAAGUCUGAUGUGAAAGCCCUUCGGCUCAACCGAAGAAGUGCAUCGGAAACUGGGAAACUUGAGUGCAGAAGAGGACAGUGGAACUCCAUGUGUAGCGGUGAAAUGCGUAGAUAUAUGGAAGAACACCAGUGGCGAAGGCGGCUGUCUGGUCUGUAACUGACGCUGAGGCUCGAAAGUAUGGGUAGCAAACAGGAUUAGAUACCCUGGUAGUCCAUACCGUAAACGAUGAAUGCUAAGUGUUGGAGGGUUUCCGCCCUUCAGUGCUGCAGCUAACGCAUUAAGCAUUCCGCCUGGGGAGUACGGCCGCAAGGCUGAAACUCAAAGGAAUUGACGGGGGCCCGCACAAGCGGUGGAGCAUGUGGUUUAAUUCGAAGCUACGCGAAGAACCUUACCAGGUCUUGACAUACUAUGCAAUUCUAAGAGAUUAGACGUUCCCUUCGGGGACAUGGAUACAGGUGGUGCAUGGUUGUCGUCAGCUCGUGUCGUGAGAUGUUGGGUUAAGUCCCGCAACGAGCGCAACCCUUAUUAUCAGUUGCCAGCAUUAAGUUGGGCACUCUGGUGAGACUGCCGGUGACAAACCGGAGGAAGGUGGGGAUGACGUCAAAUCAUCAUGCCCCUUAUGACCUGGGCUACACACGUGCUACAAUGGAUGGUACAACGAGUUGCGAACUCGCGAGAGUAAGCUAAUCUCUUAAAGCCAUUCUCAGUUCGGAUUGUAGGCUGCAACUCGCCUACAUGAAGUCGGAAUCGCUAGUAAUCGCGGAUCAGCAUGCCGCGGUGAAUACGUUCCCGGGCCUUGUACACACCGCCCGUCACACCAUGAGAGUUUGUAACACCCAAAGU